CCGCGGUGCCUGCCCACACCGCGCCCACGCUGCUCCGCGGGAAAGGCUGCCCUUCCUGAAGAACACCUCAAAUGAGAGCUGUGUGUUACUGAUGAUAAACCAUGACAUGGGUAGCAGUACAGAGAUCCUGUCUCUGGGCCCACCAGCCAGCUGUGCUCAGAAGAAAUGUGUCCUCUUCUACACAUCCUCCAGAACUCCAGCAAUCUCAGAGAACUAAAAGUUUUAUCAAAGGAGAUCUUUGAUACACUUUCAUUAAUUCCACUACCAAAUGUAACCUAACUACUAACAGGGACCUAACACUACUAAAGCUUUUUCACAUUCACAAGAACGCUUAAAAUGUUAAGAGAACUUGGUACUAAAUAAAAGCCAUUAAAAUA